rnacentral:rRNA from 1 species
UACGAAGGGGACUAGCGUUGUUCGGAAUCACUGGGCGUAAAGCGCACGUAGGUGGAUGUGUCAGUCAGGGGUGAAAUCCCGGGGCUCAACCUCGGAACUGCCUUUGAUACAGCACGUCUCGAGUCCGGAAGAGGUGGGUGGAAUUCCUAGUGUAGAGGUGAAAUUCGUAGAUAUUAGGAAGAACACCGGUGGCGAAGGCGGCCCACUGGUCCGGUACUGACGCUGAGGUGCGAAAGCGUGGGGAGCAAACAGG